rnacentral:rRNA from 1 species
GAUGAACGCUGGCGGCGUGCCUAAUACAUGCAAGUCGAGCGAACAGAUGAGGAGCUUGCUCCUCUGACGUUAGCGGCGGACGGGUGGGUAACACGUGGAUAACCUACCUAUAAGACUGGGAUAACUUCGGGAAACCGGAGCUAAUACCGGAUAAUAUAUUGAACCGCAUGGUUCAAUAGUGAAAGACGGUUUUGCUGUCACUUAUAGAUGGAUCCGCGCCGCAUUAGCUAGUUGGUAAGGUAACGGCUUACCAAGGCAACGAUGCGUAGCCGACCUGAGAGGGUGAUCGGCCACACUGGAACUGAGACACGGUCCAGACUCCUACGGGAGGCAGCAGUAGGGAAUCUUCCGCAAUGGGCGAAAGCCUGACGGAGCAACGCCGCGUGAGUGAUGAAGGUCUUCGGAUCGUAAAACUCUGUUAUUAGGGAAGAACAAAUGCGUAAGUAACUAUGCACGUCUUGACGGUACCUAAUCAGAAAGCCACGGCUAACUACGUG